rnacentral:rRNA from 1 species
UACGUAGGGUGCGAGCGUUGUCCGGAAUCAUUGGGCGUAAAGCGCGUGUAGGCGGCCCGGUAAGUCCGCUGUGAAAGUCGGGGGCUCAACCCUCGGAUGCCGGUGGAUACUGUCGGGCUCGAGUACGGAAGAGGCGAGUGGAAUUCCUGGUGUAGCGGUGAAAUGCGCAGAUAUCAGGAGGAACACCAAUUGCGAAGGCAGCUCGCUGGGACGUUACUGACGCUGAGACGCGAAAGCGUGGGGAGCAAACAGG